UACGGGGGGUGCGAGCGUUGUCCGGAAUCACUGGGCGUAAAGGGCGCGUAGGUGGUUUGAUAAGGGUGUGGUGAAAGUCCGGAGCUCAACUCCGGAUCUGCCGUGCCGACUGUCAAACUCGAGGGCUGUAGAGGCAGACGGAAUUCCGGGUGUAGCGGUGGAAUGCGUAGAGAUCCGGAGGAAGACCGGUGGCGAAGGCGGAUGCCUGGCCCAAUACUGACGCUGAGGCACGAAAGCGUGGGUAGCGAACAGG
rnacentral:rRNA from 1 species